UACGUAGGGGGGCAACGUUGUCCGGAAUCAUUGGGCGUAAAGAGCGCGUAGGCGGUCCGGUAAGUCGGUUGUGAAAACUGGGGGGCUCAACCCUCAGAGGCCGACCGAUACUGCUGGGCUAGAGUCCGGAAGAGGCGAGUGGAAUUCCUGGUGUAGCGGUGAAAUGCGUAGAUAUCGGAAAGGAACAUCAGUGGCGAAAGCGGCUUCCUGGACCAGUACCGACGUUCAGGCACGAAAGCGUGGGGAGCAAACAGG
rnacentral:rRNA from 1 species